rnacentral:rRNA from 1 species
ACGCUCGACACCUACGAGGCAGCAGUGGGGAAUAUUGCACAAUGGGGGAAACCCUGAUGCAGCGACGCCGCGUGAGCGAAGAAGUAUUUCGGUAUGUAAAGCUCUAUCAGCAGGGAAGAAAAUGACGGUACCUGACUAAGAAGCACCGGCUAAAUACGUGCCAGCAGCCGCGGUAAUCUGAGCGGGCUGGCAAGGC